rnacentral:rRNA from 1 species
GGUUAAGCGACUAAGCGUACACGGUGGAUGCCCUGGCAGUCAGAGGCGAUGAAGGACGUGCUAAUCUGCGAUAAGCGUCGGUAAGGUGAUAUGAACCGUUAUAACCGGCGAUUUCCGAAUGGGGAAACCCAGUGUGUUUCGACACACUAUCAUUAACUGAAUCCAUAGGUUAAUGAGGCGAACCGGGGGAACUGAAACAUCUAAGUACCCCGAGGAAAAGAAAUCAACCGAGAUUCCCCCAGUAGCGGCGAGCGAACGGGGAGCAGCCCAGAGCCUGAAUCAGUGUGUGUGUUAGUGGAAGCGUCUGGAAAGGCGCGCGAUACAGGGUGACAGCCCCGUACACAAAAAUGCACAUGCUGUGAGCUCGAUGAGUAGGGCGGGACACGUGGUAUCCUGUCUGAAUAUGGGGGGACCAUCCUCCAAGGCUAAAUACUCCUGACUGACCGAUAGUGAACCAGUACCGUGAGGGAAAGGCGAAAAGAACCCCGGCGAGGGGAGUGAAAAAGAACCUGAAACCGUGUACGUACAAGCAGUGGGAGCACGCUUAGGCGUGUGACUGCGUACCUUUUGUAUAAUGGGUCAGCGACUUAUAUUCUGUAGCAAGGUUAACCGAAUAGGGGAGCCGAAGGGAAACCGAGUCUUAACUGGGCGUUAAGUUGCAGGGUAUAGACCCGAAACCCGGUGAUCUAGCCAUGGGCAGGUUGAAGGUUGGGUAACACUAACUGGAGGACCGAACCGACUAAUGUUGAAAAAUUAGCGGAUGACUUGUGGCUGGGGGUGAAAGGCCAAUCAAACCGGGAGAUAGCUGGUUCUCCCCGAAAGCUAUUUAGGUAGCGCCUCGUGAAUUCAUCUCCGGGGGUAGAGCACUGUUUCGGCAAGGGGGUCAUCCCGACUUACCAACCCGAUGCAAACUGCGAAUACCGGAGAAUGUUAUCACGGGAGACACACGGCGGGUGCUAACGUCCGUCGUGAAGAGGGAAACAACCCAGACCGCCAGCUAAGGUCCCAAAGUCAUGGUUAAGUGGGAAACGAUGUGGGAAGGCCCAGACAGCCAGGAUGUUGGCUUAGAAGCAGCCAUCAUUUAAAGAAAGCGUAAUAGCUCACUGGUCGAGUCGGCCUGCGCGGAAGAUGUAACGGGGCUAAACCAUGCACCGAAGCUGCGGCAGCGACGCUGAUGCGUUGUUGGGUAGGGGAGCGUUCUGUAAGCCUGCGAAGGUGUGCUGUGAGGCAUGCUGGAGGUAUCAGAAGUGCGAAUGCUGACAUAAGUAACGAUAAAGCGGGUGAAAAGCCCGCUCGCCGGAAGACCAAGGGUUCCUGUCCAACGUUAAUCGGGGCAGGGUGAGUCGACCCCUAAGGCGAGGCCGAAAGGCGUAGUCGAUGGGAAACAGGUUAAUAUUCCUGUACUUGGUGUUACUGCGAAGGGGGGACGGAGAAGGCUAUGUUGGCCGGGCGACGGUUGUCCCGGUUUAAGCGUGUAGGCUGGUUUUCCAGGCAAAUCCGGAAAAUCAAGGCUGAGGCGUGAUGACGAGGCACUACGGUGCUGAAGCAACAAAUGCCCUGCUUCCAGGAAAAGCCUCUAAGCAUCAGGUAACAUCAAAUCGUACCCCAAACCGACACAGGUGGUCAGGUAGAGAAUACCAAGGCGCUUGAGAGAACUCGGGUGAAGGAACUAGGCAAAAUGGUGCCGUAACUUCGGGAGAAGGCACGCUGAUAUGUAGGUGAAGUCCCUUGCGGAUGGAGCUGAAAUCAGUCGAAGAUACCAGCUGGCUGCAACUGUUUAUUAAAAACACAGCACUGUGCAAACACGAAAGUGGACGUAUACGGUGUGACGCCUGCCCGGUGCCGGAAGGUUAAUUGAUGGGGUUAGCGCAAGCGAAGCUCUUGAUCGAAGCCCCGGUAAACGGCGGCCGUAACUAUAACGGUCCUAAGGUAGCGAAAUUCCUUGUCGGGUAAGUUCCGACCUGCACGAAUGGCGUAAUGAUGGCCAGGCUGUCUCCACCCGAGACUCAGUGAAAUUGAACUCGCUGUGAAGAUGCAGUGUACCCGCGGCAAGACGGAAAGACCCCGUGAACCUUUACUAUAGCUUGACACUGAACAUUGAGCCUUGAUGUGUAGGAUAGGUGGGAGGCUUUGAAGUGUGGACGCCAGUCUGCAUGGAGCCGACCUUGAAAUACCACCCUUUAAUGUUUGAUGUUCUAACGUGGACCCGUGAUCCGGGUUGCGGACAGUGUCUGGUGGGUAGUUUGACUGGGGCGGUCUCCUCCUAAAGAGUAACGGAGGAGCACGAAGGUUGGCUAAUCCUGGUCGGACAUCAGGAGGUUAGUGCAAUGGCAUAAGCCAGCUUGACUGCGAGCGUGACGGCGCGAGCAGGUGCGAAAGCAGGUCAUAGUGAUCCGGUGGUUCUGAAUGGAAGGGCCAUCGCUCAACGGAUAAAAGGUACUCCGGGGAUAACAGGCUGAUACCGCCCAAGAGUUCAUAUCGACGGCGGUGUUUGGCACCUCGAUGUCGGCUCAUCACAUCCUGGGGCUGAAGUAGGUCCCAAGGGUAUGGCUGUUCGCCAUUUAAAGUGGUACGCGAGCUGGGUUUAGAACGUCGUGAGACAGUUCGGUCCCUAUCUGCCGUGGGCGCUGGAGAACUGAGGGGGGCUGCUCCUAGUACGAGAGGACCGGAGUGGACGCAUCACUGGUGUUCGGGUUGUCAUGCCAAUGGCACUGCCCGGUAGCUAAAUGCGGAAGAGAUAAGUGCUGAAAGCAUCUAAGCACGAAACUUGCCCCGAGAUGAGUUCUCCCUGACCCUUUAAGGGUCCUGAAGGAACGUUGAAGACGACGACGUUGAUAGGCCGGGUGUGUAAGCGCAGCGAUGCGUUGAGCUAACCGGUACUAAUGAACCGUGAGGCUUAACCUU